CAAGAGAUGCAAAGUUGUUACUUCUUAUCAAAGUCCCAAGUAACAAAGUUGAAAGAUCAUACUUCCGCCCUUUGAGCUUCUCACAAAGUGAAACUGCCAACAAACCACACAACUGAGAACAGACAGGAUGCUAGGAAAAGCCUAGGGAAUGGGCACGAAACUACCUGGGUCACUUUAGACUGAGAACGAAUAUACUAUACUUACCAAGGCAACAGACAUCUGGCAACAAUGCUUCGCCACUUGGCUCCACCCACUGUUCUGAUCGUCCUGUUGCUUGGGUCUCGCCUCGCCUCCGCUUCCCAGGAGGUUUUAGACUUAGGAGAAGCAUGGAAUGAUAUGGUGGUCAACAUGGAAAAAACUUUUCAAGAAAUGGUCAAUAAAUUUGGCGAAGCGAUGUACGAAGGCCUGCCAACUAACAUCACUCAUGAGGACGAUGCUGUCUCAGAUGCACCGCAAGACAACGGGCAGGAGGCAAUGCAAGAUGGCGGGUGGGACGCACCAGGAGAUGGCGAGCGACUUGCAAGCGCCGACCACAGUGAGAUGGAGCGGGGCUCCAGAUGCAGUAGUGGGACCGGACGUGUUAGUAUAGGACUCCUCUGGGCAGCUGCGCUGGGCUCGUUCUUCCUGACACAUUCUGUAUAGCAACCCACUUAUAAUGCUGCAGCUCCAUGGAAAGCCUACACUGUAAAAACCUUUCACUGUAUCAUUAAACUCACUGUUAAAAUUUUCACCUUUAAUUUAGGAAGAACAUCGAUUUAAAAUUAUUCAUGGAUAAUUGACGGAUAUGUUCGUAAAGUUUUGUGUGCUCAGUUAACUUAUACAAACAAUAAAUAACAAAAAUUGUCACAGAGUAUCUGCAAAACUUUCAAAAAAUUUCAAUUCUAUAGCAAACACAUGCUUAUUUUAUUUACUUGUGUUUUUACCUUGUUUAAAAGUGGAACUUAAAACUCGGAAAUUGAAAUUCGGUGUAUUUGCAAUGAAAAUCUCUUUUAUUUGAAACUACGAAGAACUCUUAAAUUAUUUGAGGUGCAUUCUUCGUUGAAAAUUAUUUCAGUUUGCUGUAAUUUAUAACCCCGUUGUUAUAGGAAGAACUUGUUAUUUUAAAAAAAUAUCUGCCACUAAAAAUUUAUGUUACUGUAAAUAAAAUUUUUGUUCGAAUUUUUUUCUGGAAGAAAGAAUAUGCAUUAAUCGUCAUUAAAGUAGUUUAAAA